AGCGGGUAUAGUUUAGUGGUAGAAGUGUGAUUCAGCCUUCCAAGCUAAUGGUGCGGGUUCGAUUCCCGCUACCCGCUA
rnacentral:tRNA from 4 species